GGCUGAACGAGGAUUGGAAAUUUUAUCUCUCAACUUCCUGUUCCGGGCGCCUUCAGGUAUCCCAUGGCUUCCAUAGUCAGACGGUCAGAACUUGGAGCUCUUUACUCCAGAUGUGCUUUAGUGUUCCUGCAGUGCUUAUUAUAUGCUGUUGUAAUUAUUUGUGAAUCUCAGAUUGAUAUUGACCGAAGACUGCAGGACUCCAAGAUGGCGGCAGCCACUCCAGUGAAAAGAAAGAAACUCACAGAUGUCAAAAUAGGGGAGCUGCCAAGCAGGAUAUGGAUGUGGGAUUUCACCCCAGAGACACUGUUGGAGCGUCUCAAAGCAGUUACUACCGGUUCUACAACAGGUAUGUCUAGUGAGGAAAAAAAGGUGUAACUGGGUUUUUCUGGUCUGGCGGCUUACAUGGUUUCCAACUAUCGCCUUUCUCACAAAGGAG
ensembl:lncRNA